rnacentral:rRNA from 1 species
GACGAACGCUGGCGGCGUGCUUAACACAUGCAAGUCGAACGAUGACGGCAGAGCUUGCUCUGCCUGAUCAUUGGCGCACGGGUGUGUAACACGUGAGUAUCCUGCCCCUCACUUAGUGAUAACCCCGGGGAAUCGUGGCGCAUACCGGGUAUGAGACCUGACUCCGUGGUCGGCUCUGGUGAGAUAUAUCGGUGCGGGAUGUACUCGCGGCCUACCAGCUUGUUGGGGAGGUAACGGUACACCAAGCGGACGACGGGUAGCCGGCCUGGGAGGGCGACCGGCCACACGGCUACUGAGAUACGGCGCAGACUCCUACGGUACGCAGCAGUGGGGAAUAUUGCACAACGGGCGAAAGCCUGAUGCAACGACGCCGCGUGAGGGAUAAAGGCUUUCGGGGUGUAAACCUCUUUCAGCAGGGAAGAAGCGAAAGUGACGGUACCUGCAGAAGAAGCGCCGGCUAACUACGUG